CUCAUCUGAUUUUUUUAAGACCAUUCAAAGUGUUCUCUCAAUAUUCAACCUCAAGAACACCAAGGAAAACUUGGAGGCUAAGUCUUGGUCUAGGAAGUAUUUUCCCUAAGUUGGUUAGGGUUUUUGAAAGGUUUUGGAGGAGCCAAAGCUAAUAGGAAGGUCCAAACCUUAAGCAAGAACACCAAAGAGUAUUGGCUAAGCGUAACUGGACUGAACGUUGGAGGGUGAAAACCUGCUGAGCGCUAAGGACUCCAAGUAAA